rnacentral:rRNA from 1 species
AGGGAUCAUUAUAGAGUUUUCUAAACUCCCAACCCAUGUGGACUUACCUUUUGUUGCCUCGGCAGAAGUUAUAGGUCUUCUUAUAGCUGCUGCCGGUGGACCAUUAAACUCUUGUUAUUUUAUGUAAUCUGAGCGUCUUAUUUUAAUAAGUCAAAACUUUCAACAACGGAUCUCUUGGUUCUGGCAUCGAUGAAGAACGCAGCGAAAUGCGAUAAGUAAUGUGAAUUGCAGAAUUCAGUGAAUCAUCGAAUCUUUGAACGCACAUUGCGCCCAUUAGUAUUCUAGUGGGCAUGCCUGUUCGAGCGUCAUUUCAACCCUUAAGCCUAGCUUAGUGUUGGGAAUCUACUUCUCUUAGGAGUUGUAGUUCCUGAAAUACAACGGCGGAUUUGUAGUAUCCUCUGAGCGUAGUAAUUUUUUUCUCGCUUUUGUUAGGUGCUAUAACUCCCAGCCGCUAAACCCCCAAUUUUUUGUGGUUGACCUCGGAUCAGGUAGGAAUACCCGCUGAACUUAAGCAUAUCAAUAAGCGGAGGAAAAGAAACCAACAGGGAUUGCCUUAGUAACGGCGAGUGAAGCGGCAACAGCUCAAAUUUGAAAUCUGGCCCUUGGGUCCGAAUUGUAAUUUGUAGAGGAUGAUUUUGGUGCGGUAUCUUCCGAGUUCCUUGGAACAGGACGCCUUAGAGGGUGAGAGCCCCGUACGGUUGAAUGCCUAGCCUCUGUAAAUCUCCUUCGACGAGUCGAGUAGUUUGGGAAUGCUGCUCUAAAUGGGAGGUAAAUUUCUUCUAAAGCUAAAUAUUGGCCAGAGACCGAUAGCGCACAAGUAGAGUGAUCGAAAGAUGAAAAGCACUUUGAAAAGAGGGUUAAAUAGCACGUGAAAUUGUUGAAAGGGAAGGAUUUGUGACCAGACUUUUUCUGGGCGGAUCAUCCGGGGUUCUCUCCGGUGCACUUCGCCCAGUAAAGGCCAGCAUCGGUUUUCGGCGUGGGAUAAAAGCAGUAGGAAUGUGGCUCUCUANCGGGGAGUGUUAUAGCCUAUUGUAUAAUACCGCGCUGGGGACCGAGGU